GUAUAGGUUUAUAGGCACAAAGGCCAUUGAUUACAUUCUAUAACAUACAUUGGGGUCUAUGUAGAACAUAGACCUGGAAAUGUAAGGAGAGACUGUGAAGUCAAUCCUCAAAACCUGACUGGCUAGGCAUUCAGAGAGAGAUCCAGGUCUACAAAAGGUGCACAGGUGGAAAUAUAAAGAUGACAAGUGUGCACAUGCUCCCUAGAGAGCCAGCAGCAACUCAUCAGAUUUAUUUCAAUAAUGAUCCUUCCGCAGGUUCACCUACGGAAA
rnacentral:misc_RNA from 1 species